CGGUUGAUCCUGCCGGAGGCCACCGCUAUUGGAGUUCGAUUAAGCCAUGCGAGUCGAGAGGGUUAAACCCUCGGCGGACGUCUCAGUAACACGUGGAUAAUCUGCCCUCGGGUGGGGGAUAACCUCGGGAAACUGAGGAUAAUACCCCAUAGGUCUGCGAUGCUGGAAUGCUUGCAGGUCGAAAACUACGGUGCCCGAGGAUGAGUCUGCGGCCUAUCAGGUCGUAGUGAGGGUAAAGGCCUCACUAGCCGACGACGGGUACGGGCGUUGAGAGACGUUGCCCGGAGUUGGACUCUGAGACACGAGUCCAGGCCCUACGGGGCGCAGCAGGCGCGAAAACUUCGCAAUGCGGGAAACCGCGACGAGGGAACUCCAAGUGCUGCCACACAGUGGCAGCUGUUCAUCUGUCUAAAAAACAGGUGAAGUAAGGGCUGGGUAAGACUGGUGCCAGCCGCCGCGGUAAUACCAGCAGCCCAAGUGGUGGCCGCUUUUAUUGGGCCUAAAGCGUCCGUAGCCGGGCUGGUAAACCCUUGGGUAAAUCGUACAGCUUAACUGUACGACUUCCGAGGAGACUGCCAGCCUUGGGACCGGGAGAGGUCGGAGGCACUCCUGGGGUAGGGCUGGGUUCCUGUAAUCCCAGGAGGACCACCGGUGGCGAAGGCGUCCGACUAGAACGGGUCCGACGGUAAGGGACGAAGCCCUGGGUCGCGAACCGGAUUAGAUAUCCGGGGAGUCCAGGGUGUACCCGCUGCGGGCUUGGUGUUGGGGGUCCUACGAGGGCGCCCAGUGCCGGAGAGAAGUUGUUAAGCCCGCCGCCUGGGGAGUACGGUCGCAAGACUGAAACUUAAAGGAAUUGGCGGGGGAGCAC
rnacentral:rRNA from 1 species